AUGAACCACCUCCAGAUUAUUUAUGUAACUCGACAUGCUAAAAGUUUACAAUAGUGUAUUCAUAAUGUUACGUUGUAUAUUAACGUAUCGUUAGAUAACAUACUUUAGCAGGAGGUGAUAUAAGCCAGAAAUAUAUAAAUAAUUCACACACAUCACUGCAAACUGUGGAUUUGUCUCACCUCUUUACAACUAGUGGAUAAAAUUCAAAAUUAUGAAAUUUAUUGAGUAUUUCGUGAACUUUGGGGGAGGUGCGGGCGGAACGAAAGGCGGAGGUGGGGGUGGCGGAGGCGGCUUUGGAGGUGGGAAUGGGGGCGAUGGUGGAAGUCGUAAAUAAAAUUCUAUUGUCAUUUUCAUGUCACGUAUUUGAAAUAAACUUUGUACCCAUGCCAUAA